GAGUUUGAUCUUAGCUCAGAUUGAACGCUGGCGGAAUGCUUUACACAUGCAAGUCGAGCGGCAGCGCGGGGGCAACCUGGCGGCGAGCGGCGAACGGGUGAGUAAUGCAUCGGAACAUGUCCAUGUCGUGGGGGAUAGCCCGGCGAAAGCCGGAUUAAUACCGCAUACGCCCGAGAGGGGAAAGUGGGGGACCGCAAGGCCUCACGCGAUUGGGUUGGCCGAUGUCCGAUUAGCUAGUUGGCGGGGUAAGAGCCCACCAAGGCGAUGAUCGGUAGCUGGUCUGAGAGGAUGAUCAGCCACACUGGGACUGAGACACGGCCCAGACUCCU
rnacentral:rRNA from 1 species